GACGAACGCUGGCGGCGUGCCUAAUACAUGCAAGUCGAACGCACUCUCGUUUAGAUUGAAGGAGCUUGCUCCUGAUUGAUAAACAUUUGAGUGAGUGGCGGACGGGUGAGUAACACGUGGGUAACCUGCCCUAAAGUGGGGGAUAACAUUUGGAAACAGAUGCUAAUACCGCAUAAAACCUAAACACCGCAUGGUGUAGGGUUGAAAGAUGGUUUCGGCUAUCACUUUAGGAUGGACCCGCGGUGCAUUAGUUAGUUGGUGAGGUAAAGGCUCGCCAAGACCGUGAUGCAUAGCCGACCUGAGAGGGUAAUCGGCCACACUGGGACUGAGACACGGCCCAGACUCCUACGGGAGGCAGCAGUAGGGAAUCUUCCACAAAGGACGAAAGUCUGAUGGAGCAACGCCGCGUGAGUGAAGAAGGUUUCGGAUCGUAAAACUCUGUUGUUGGAGAAGAAUGUAUCUGAUAGUAACUGAUCAGGUAGUGACGGUAUCCAACCAGAAAGCC
rnacentral:rRNA from 1 species